AAGUCGUAACAAGGUCUCCGUUGGUGAACCAGCGGAGGGAUCAUUACAGAGUUAUACAACUCCCAUACCAUCUGUCAACCUACCCAGCUAUGCCUCGGCGUAAGCUCGGCCGGGGGCGGUCCGGCGCUACCCUGUAGCGGCGGCCGCGCCACCUCGGCCGCGCCCGCCGGCGGUACACUAAACUAUGUUUUACUUUACCUUCUGAGCGUCUUAUUUUAAUAAGUUAAAACUUUCAACAACGGAUCUCUUGGUUCUG
rnacentral:misc_RNA from 1 species